rnacentral:sRNA from 2 species
UGUAUCUGAAGCCUGACGAGGAUGAGAACCUCCGGGGGCAAGAGGUUCGACCCGAGCGAAGCGAGAGAACGUUGCGUCAGCAACGGCCC